CGAACGCUGGCGGCGUGCUUAACACAUGCAAGUCGAACGGAAAGGCCCUGCUUUUGUGGGGUGCUCGAGUGGCGAACGGGUGAGUAACACGUGAGUAACCUGCCCUUGACUUUGGGAUAACUUCAGGAAACUGGGGCUAAUACCGGAUAGGAGCUCCUGCUGCAUGGUGGGGGUUGGAAAGUUUCGGCGGUUGGGGAUGGACUCGCAGCUUAUCAGCUUGUUGGUGGGGUAGUGGCUUACCAAGGCUUUGACGGGUAGCCGGCCUGAGAGGGUGACCGGCCACAUUGGGACUGAGAUACGGCCCAGACUCCUACGGGAGGCAGCAGUGGGGAAUAUUGCACAAUGGGCGGAAGCCUGAUGCAGCAACGCCGCGUGCGGGAUGACGGCCUUCGGGUUGUAAACCGCUUUCGCCUGUGACGAAGCGUGAGUGACGGUAAUGGGUAAAGAAGCACCGGCUAACUACGUG
rnacentral:rRNA from 1 species